rnacentral:ncRNA from 2 species
CCUAUCGAUAGAGGCGCGGAAGCGAUGAGUCCCAGGCGAGCCGGCAGGCACUGACCUUGGGAGGGGGCCUAAUCCGCCGAACCGCAUGCGUCAGGCGUGGCGCGCGCGGUGGGCUUGGGGGAAACACCUCCAAGACUGUCUACGGAGUAUCCGUGGUUGAGCUAUCUUGGCG